GCUUCCUUGGCUCAGUUGGUUAGAGCACCUCAUUAGUAAUGAGGAGGUCGCUGGUUCGAAUCCUGCAGGAAGCU